GCAAGUCGAACGAUUGCCUUCGGGUGAUAGUGGCGCACGGGUGCGUAACGCGUGGGAAUCUGCCCUUAGGUUCGGAAUAACAGCUGGAAACGGCUGCUAAUACCGGAUGAUAUCGCGAGAUCAAAGAUUUAUCGCCUGAGGAUGAGCCCGCGUUGGAUUAGGUAGUUGGUGGGGUAAAGGCCUACCAAGCCGACGAUCCAUAGCUGGUCUGAGAGGAUGAUCAGCCACACUGGGACUGAGACACGGCCCAGACUCCUACGGGAGGCAGCAGUGGGGAAUAUUGGACAAUGGGCGCAAGCCUGAUCCAGCAAUGCCGCGUGAGUGAUGAAGGCCCUAGGGUUGUAAAGCUCUUUUACCCGGGAAGAUAAUGACUGUACCGGGAGAAUAAGCCCCGGCUAACUCCGUGCCAGCAGCCGCGGUAAUACGGAGGGGGCUAGCGUUGUUCGGAAUUACUGGGCGUAAAGCGCACGUAGGCGGCUUUGUAAGUCAGAGGUGAAAGCCUGGAGCUCAACUCCAGAACUGCCUUUGAGACUGCAUCGCUUGAAUCCAGGAGAGGUCAGUGGAAUUCCGAGUGUAGAGGUGAAAUUCGUAGAUAUUCGGAAGAACACCAGUGGCGAAGGCGGCUGACUG
rnacentral:rRNA from 1 species